rnacentral:rRNA from 1 species
UUAUUUUGACUGUGCUAAGGUAGCGAAGUCAUUAGUUCUUUUAUUGAGGACUUGUAUGAGUGGAAUUUUGGAGAUUUUUUUAUGGAAAUUUAUUUUAUUGAAUUUGAUUUUUCUAUGAAAAGUUGGAAUUUUUUUUUAAAGACGAGAAGACCCUAAAAUCUUUAUUUUAUGGAAGAUGGGCUAUAAUUUUUGUUUGGGGGAAAAAGUUAUAUUUAUAAUUAUAUUUAUUAAUUUGAACUUUGUUAGGUAGUUGGGAUAGAUACUUUAGGGAUAACAGGAUCAUUUUUUUUUGAAGUUCUUAUUUUAGGGGGAGAUUGUUACCUCGAUGUUGGCUUUUGA